AAUGAAAUAUCCCAGGGAUAUGAAACCAUGUCAUCAAAGAGUUCAGAAAACCAUGCAUUGAUGGGAACGCAGCUGCAUAUCAAAGCCAUUUCAUCCUGAAAGAUAAGAGGCUUCGUCCAGCUCCCAUCCAAGUUGCCUUCAAAAGACCCACUGCCUCCCUCAGUCAGAAAAAAAGUCCAAGAUGUCUAGAAAUGUUUCUAAUGCAUUGGCCAGUGUGGUUGAGUCAUAUAUGCUUUAUGGACCAGCUGCUAAGGAAGGGAUGCAGGCAGGUCUGGCCCCAGUGCUAGAGAAGGAGCAACUGUGUGGAGAAGGACAGAGGGCGAACAGCUUCAUAGGAGUGGAGUGAAGACCACAAGUUAUCCAGCAUAAACAGGCAAUGAGCAAGUCCGUAGACUCACUUGAAUUCACUUGAAAGCAAAGGCAAAGAACAUUUGUAUCAACACAUUCCAGGACUUCCUAGCAUAGCACAACUAAAUUCAGCAGCCUUGUGAUAUUGAUUUGAUUAAAAAUGGUUUAAGACUUGUAAAUGUCACUGGAACUUAGCAAAAUGAACGUUAUUAAAUCCUUCUGGUGAUGGGGAAAACUAACAAAGGGAUUUGCAGCGGUUUCUGUAAUUAAUUGCUCUGUCAUGAUUUAUAUUAACUUACAGUAUGACUCCAUUAGCGCGGACCUG